rnacentral:rRNA from 1 species
AUUGAACGCUGGCGGAAGGCCUAGCACAUGCAAGUCGAACGAGUGGCGGACGGGUGAGUAAUGUCUGGGAAACUGCCUGAUGGAGGGGGAAAACUACUGGAAACUGUAGCUAAUACCGCAUACCAUCGGAUGUACCCAGAUGGGAUUAGCUAGUAGGUGGGGUAACGGCGAACCGAGGCGACGAGCCCUAGCUGGUCUGAGAGGAUGACCAGCAACACUGGAACUGAGACACGGUCCAGACUCCUACGGGAGGCAGCAGUGGGGAAUAUUGCACAAUGGGCGCAAGCCUGAUGCAGCCAUGCCGCGUGUAUGAAGAAGGCCUUCGGGUUAUAAAGUACUUUCAGCGGGGAGGCGUUACCCGCAGAAGAAGCACCGGCUAACUCCGUGCCAGCAGCCGCGGUAAUUC